AGUGAACGCUGGCGGUAGGCCUAACACAUGCAAGUCGAACGGCAGCACAGUAAGAGCUUGCUCUUACGGGUGGCGAGUGGCGGACGGGUGAGGAAUACAUCGGAAUCUACUUUUUCGUGGGGGAUAACGUAGGGAAACUUACGCUAAUACCGCAUACGACCUACGGGUGAAAGCAGGGGAUCUUCGGACCUUGCGCGAUUGAAUGAGCCGAUUUCGGAUUAGCUAGUUGGCGGGGUAAAGGCCCACCAAGGCGACGAUCCGUAGCUGGUCUGAGAGGAUGACCAGCCACACUGGAACUGAGACACGGUCCAGACUCCUACGGGAGGCAGCAGUGGGGAAUAUUGGACAACGGGCGCAAGCCUGAUCCAGCCAUACCGCGUGGGUGAAGAAGGCCUUCGGGUUGUAAAGCCCUUUUGUUGGGAAAGAAAAGCAGCAGGUUAAUACCCCGCUGUUCUGACGGUACCCAAAGAAUAAGCACCGGCUAACUUCGUG
rnacentral:rRNA from 1 species